rnacentral:rRNA from 1 species
AUUGAACGCUGGCGGCAUGCCUAACACAUGCAAGUCGAGCGAAUGAAGGGGGCUUUCUCCUGUAUGCAGCUGCGGACGGGUGGGUGAUGCCUAGGAAUGUGCCUUGUAUUUAGGGAUAGCGUCCGGAAACGGGCGCGAAUACCGCAUACGUCCUUAUGUAGAAAGUGGGGGAUCGUCGGAGCUCGCGCUAUCAGAUGAGCCUAGGUCGGAUUAGCUAGUUGGUGGGGUAAAGGCCUACCAAGGCGACGAUCCGUAACUGGUCUGAGAGGAUGAUCAGUCACACUGGAACUGAGACACGGUCCAGACUCCUACGGGAGGCAGCAGUGGGGAAUCUUGCACAAUGGGCGAAAGCCUGAUCCAGCCAUGCCGCGUGUGUGAAGAAGGUCUUCGGAUUGUAAAGCACUUUAAGUAGGGAGGAAGGAAAGUAUGUUAAUCCGUUGAUGUUUUGACGUUACCAACAGAAUAAGCACCGGCUAACUUCGUG